rnacentral:rRNA from 1 species
AUACCCUCAUUUCAUCGCAUGGUGGUUUGAGGAAAGUUUUUCGGUUUGGGAGGGUCUCGCGGCCUAUCAGCUUGUUGGUGGGGUAAUGGCCUACCAAGGCGACGACGGGUAGCUGGUUUGAGAGAACGAUCAGCCACACUGGAACUGAGACACGGUCCAGACUCCUACGGGAGGCAGCAGUGGGGAAUCUUGCGCAAUGGGCCGAAAGCCUGACCGCAGCAACGCCGCGUGCGGGAUGAAGGCCUUCGGGUCUGUUAACCGCUUUCA